rnacentral:rRNA from 1 species
AACGAACGCUGGCGGCAGGCUUAACACAUGCAAGUCGAACGCCCCGCAAGGGGAGUGGCAGACGGGUGAGUAACGCGUGGGAAUCUACCCAGUUCUACGGAAUAACCCAGGGAAACUUGGACUAAUACCGUAUACGCCCUACGGGGGAAAGAUUUAUCGGAAUUGGAUGAGCCCGCGUUGGAUUAGCUAGUUGGUGGGGUAAUGGCCUACCAAGGCGACGAUCCAUAGCUGGUCUGAGAGGAUGAUCAGCCACACUGGGACUGAGACACGGCCCAGACUCCUACGGGAGGCAGCAGUGGGGAAUAUUGGACAAUGGGCGCAAGCCUGAUCCAGCCAUGCCGCGUGAGUGAUGAAGGCCUUAGGGUUGUAAAGCUCUUUCAGUGGGGACGAUAAUGACGGUACCCACAGAAGAAGCCCCGGCUAACUUCGUGCCAGCAGCCGCGGUAA